CCUACGGGAGGCAGCAGUGGGGAAUAUUGCGCAAUGGGCGAAAGCCUGACGCAGCGACGCCGCGUGAGGGAUGAAGGUCUUCGGAUCGUAAACCUCUGUCAGCAGGGAAGAACGGUCACUGUGCUAAUCAGCAGUGAAUUGACGGUACCUGCAAAGGAAGCACCGGCUAACUCCGUGCCAGCAGCCGCGGUAAUACGGAGGGUGCGAGCGUUAGUCGGAAUUACUGGGCGUAAAGGGCUCGUAGGCGGUAUGUCAAGUCAAGGGUGAAAUCCCCGGGCUCAACGUGGGAACUGCCUUUGAAACUGGCAAACUUGAGUGUGUGAGGGGAUAGCGGAAUUCCAGGUGUAGGAGUGAAAUCCGUAGAUAUCUGGAGGAACAUCAGUGGCGAAGGCGACUGUCUGGCACAUAACUGACGCUGAGGAGCGAAAGCGUGGGUAGCAAACAGGAUUAGAUACCCCUGUAGUC
rnacentral:rRNA from 1 species